rnacentral:tRNA from 1 species
GUGUUGGUGGCUCAAUGGUUAAGCACUUGACUUGCAAUCUGCAGUUCCUGGGUUCGAAUCCCGCCGUAUACC